CUGAAUUAUGUCCUCUUUUUUCAGAAGUUUGUAAGGUUUUUCUUCUGUGACAUCUUCAUUAAUUCGACAAUUUAAAAUUUCUUGUGUCUUUUGAGUGAAAACUAAUGGAAAGAUCUCUGGGUGGCCUAGAAAAGGUCCUCCACUGCAUCCGCUCUGCUGCAGUCAUCCACUGAAAUCAGUGGAAUACUAAGCCAUUCCUAGUAUACACUGCAAUAUGAAAGAUGUGUUCUAUCUGGACUUCCUGGCUAUUACACAACAUUGUGCAGUAUGCAUACAACACACACACACACACACACACACACACAAUUCCUGUGUCUAUUUGCUUCACAAGUGCUAAUUAACAUUUCAUUGCUUUC